GAUGAACGAUGGAGGAGGGCAGAAUACAUGCAAGUCGAGCGAACAGACGAGGAGCUUGCUCCUCUGACGUUAGCGGCGGACGGGUGAGUAACACGUGGAUAACCUACCUAUAAGACUGGGAUAACUUCGGGAAACCGGAGCUAAUACCGGAUAAUAUAUUGAACCGCAUGGUUCAAUAGUGAAAGAAGGUUUUGCUGUCACUUAUAGAUGGAUCCGCGCAGCAUUAGCUAGUUGGUAAGGUAACGGCUUACCAAGGCAACGAUGCGUAGCCGACCUGAGAGGGUGAUCGGCCACACUGGAACUGAGACACGGUCCAGACUCCUACGGGAGGCAGCAGUAGGGAAUCUUCCGCAAUGGGCGAAAGCCUGACGGAGCAACGCCGCGUGAGUGAUGAAGGUCUUCGGAUCGUAAAACUCUGUUAUUAGGGAAGAACAAAUGUUUAAGUAACUAUGCACGUCUUGACGGUACCUAAUCAGAAAGCCACGGCUAACUACGUG
rnacentral:rRNA from 1 species